rnacentral:rRNA from 1 species
CGCCUCUUGAUAAGAGGUCCAGCCUGCCCAGUGACGUUCAACGGCCGCGGUAUUCUAACCGCGCGAAGGUAGCGUAAUCACUUGUUUUCUAAAUAAAGACUAGUAUGAAAGGCAUCACGAGGAUUAAACUGUCUCCUCUUUCUAAUCAGUGAACCUAAUCUCCCCGUGAAGAAGCGCGGAUAAAAAUAUAAGACGAGAAGACCCUGUGGAGCUUAAAACUUUGUACACUUGCCAUUCUGAUUACAUGUUUUUGGUUGGGGUGACCGCGGAGAAAAACCCAUCCUCCGCAAUGAAUAGCAAUAAACUACAAUCUUAUGCAUCAAAAAAUUGACAUUAUCGACCCAAUAAAUUGAUCAAUGAACCAAGUUACCCCAGGGAUAACAGCACAAUCCGCUUUGAGAGCUCCUAUCGACAAGCGGGCUUAUGACCUCGAUGUUGGAUCGGGGUAUCCUAGUGGUGCAGCCGCUACUAAAGGUUCGUUUGUUCAACGAUUAAAACCCC